UAAUAUAUAUUAUCAUUACGUAUUAAAUAGUAAAGCGAAUAAAAUCAAGUAUUGUUUUUUCGUUACGAUCGUGUUCGGCGAUUGAUAAAAUACCGUCAUCGCGACAACGAUGAAAUUGUCGACAGACGCGUUGUCGUGUCGUUCCGGCACCGUGCGUAUACAAUCGUUUUUUUUUUUUUUUUUUUUUAAUCAAUCGCAGACCGCGGCGGACGCGUCGGGCGACGGUCUCGGGAAUAGACGACGGGACAUCGUCCGAUCGGUAAAUAACGGAGAGUAAAAAAAAAAUAAAAAAAACAAAAACAAAUUGCGAUGUUAUGCGAUAAAAAGAUUCGGAAUUCCGUGCGCCCGUUUUCUUAACCCCCCGUCGAUUCGUGGCCCCGGUCGGCGGGGAAACAAAUCCCGGUGACGGACGUACGUCGGUAAGAGACGAAUCGCCGGACAGUGACGACGGAUGAACGAGAACGCUCGUGCGGAUAAGGGCGAAACACGAGAGGGAGUGACAGAGGAGGGGAAAAAAUCCGACGAAAAUCACGGUGACGCAGUCGAACGAGAAAAUCGAGUUCCGGAGCGGAAUCGAACGUCGCGCGCGCGGGGUUCGAGACGGAAUCGUGCGGGGGUGUAAACUGACGACGACCGCGAGAAGGGUCGGCGGAGAAGAAAAAACCAAAAAAAAAAAAUUACACAAACGACGAGAGUACGACAAUAACGGCCGCGUUCAUUAUUAUUGUUUUUUUCCCCGGAGGAGUUAUUCCGCGAAACACGGUUAUCGAUAUUAUAUU